rnacentral:rRNA from 1 species
GAGGAAAGAGGGGGGCGUGCCUAAUACAUGCAAGUCGAGCGAACAGAUGAGGAGCUUGCUCCUCUGACGUUAGCGGCGGACGGGUGAGUAACACGUGGAUAACCUACCUAUAAGACUGGGAUAACUUCGGGAAACCGGAGCUAAUCCCGGAUAAUAUAUUGAACCGCAUGGUUCAAUAGUGAAAGACGGUUUUGCUGUCACUUAUAGAUGGAUCCGCGCCGCAUUAGCUAGUUGGUAAGGUAACGGCUUACCAAGGCAACGAUGCGUAGCCGACCUGAGAGGGUGAUCGGCCACACUGGAGCUGAGACACGGUCCAGACGCCUACGGGAGGCAGCAGUAGGGAAUCUUCCGCAAUGGGCGAAAGCCUGACGGAGCAACGCCGCGUGAGUGAUGAAGGUCUUCGGAUCGUAAAACUCUGUUAUUAGGGAAAAACAAAUGUGUAAGUAACUAUGCACGUCUUGACGGUACCUAAUCAGAAAGCCACGGCUAACUACGUG